GGGGCCCCGCCCUCUGCCUUCGCUCGCGCCGCUCUCCUUCAGUCUCCCCAGGGCCUGUUUCAUGGAUAGGGUCCCCUUGCCCGCGUGAAAGUCUCAUUCCUCCUCAGCUCAGAAACACUCCAAGGUCUCGGCGCCCUAUACUGGCCUUCCCUCAUCCGAAUACCCCUCGUGCUCCUGAUGUACUUUUCCAUUCCCACUCCCUACUCUGGCAGUCUAGCUUCUAAGCUGAGGAGUUUGGCCUUCGCUCCAGGUGCGGGGACUCGUGGAAGGAUUUGAUUCGCGCUUGAGAAAGAUCGCUCCGCUCCUGUAAGGAAGAGAGCGUGUAGGGGCUGCAACCAGAGACACAGUCAGAAGCUCCGAGGCUACCGCGAUGGUCCAGGUGCCACAGGACACAGCCUAACAGAGGCCCAGGUUGGAGCCAUGGACCAUGGAGUCAUGAGAAUGGAAGGGAAGCUGACGCCAUGUGGGAUGGGGUAGAACUGUCCGCAAAUUCGUCCCGCCUCUGGAGUCUUCAGACCAGUCAAGGCCGAAAUUCAACCAAGCCUCUCCUCUCUCUAGCUGUUAUUUGUUUGCAGCACGCGGUCUGGUGGCACCCUGCAGGAUUUACCAGCUUUUUGCCAACAUUCUGGCCUAUGCAAUCAAUACGUCCCUUCAGCGUUGCACUUGGAUGGAUUGGACCUAUAGUUGUUAUAUAUGGAUAUUGUCUAAUUUAUUUAUUACAGUAUUAACUGACUCCUAUGUUCUGGCCUUCAGAAUUUCUCCUUUGGAUCAAUUACUAGCCUGUCUUACAUUUUCUGCUUCAUUCUUUUAAAAUGUUUAGAGAUGAUUUGCUAAGUUUUCUUCAUUGCUGUCAAUGAUGCAAUUUAAACUGUCAAAAAAAUUUUUUCUCAAGCAGGGUAGUAAUGGUGAACCAUUCCCUUGCUAUUCAGACAGCAUGGUUUAGAUGAGGCGCACCUAUCCCCAGCUUUAGGAAUGGAAACAGGACCCAAGUCUGGCUAAUCAGAGACUGGUUUAGGGUCGGCCCCAUGGUCUGAGCCAGACCAAUGAGAAUUGGUAGAGGGACUUCCUUUUGCAACUUCUAUUUUAGAAUCGGGGGUAUAUAUGCAGGCUUGUUACAGAGGUAUAUUGCAUGGUGCUGAGGUUUGGAGUAUGAACGAAUCCGUCCUUCAGGUAAUGAGCAUAGUACCCAAUAGGUAGUUUCAACCCUUGCCCCCUUCCUCCUUCCCCAGUCUUGUAUUCCCCAGUGUCUGUUGUUCCCAGACAUUGAUCUUUUUCCUCUAUGUUGCUAAGCUGGUAGAAAGGCUGGAGUUGCUGGCAACCAUCUUUGCAACCAUGCAGGGAGAACUACUUUGGAAAUGAAGCAAGAUAAAGAAGAAAACAGAUAAAAGGAGACAAAUGUUUGACUUUGUACAGCUGGAAACCAGCAAUGCUGGAAAUGAGCACUGAAGGCAGUUUAAUGGGUUUGUCACUUGUAACCAAGUGACCCAUGGCAAGCUCACAGAUUUGUAUUGGCAGAAUUCCUCCUUUUCUUUAUUUAAAAUGGUACUUUUGGCCAGGCAAGGUGGUUCACACCUGUAAUCCAAAGACUUUGGGAGGCCGAGGCGCACUGAUCACCCAAGGUCAGAAGUUCGAGAACAGCCUGGCCAACAUUGGCGAAACCCCAUCUCUACUAAAAAUACAAACCAUUAGCUGGCUGCGGUGGCCUUUCUACCAGCUUUUUGUCUCAAAAAAAAAAAAAAAAAAGGUACUUUUGCUUAUCUCUAACCUUCCUCUUCCCCAUAAUUUAACAGUUGCCCAUACUAUCUGUUACUCUGAGCUACUCUCUGCCCCAUUCUCCUCCUCUUAUCUUCAGUUCCUCCUAGGCUGUCAGAGCCAUCUGAAAUGAAAACAUUUAGGCCGGGCAUAGUGGUUCAUGCCUGUAAUCCCAGCACUUUGGGAGGCUGAGGCAGGCGGAUCAGCUGAGGUCAGGAGUUCAAGACCACCCUGGUCAACAUGGUGAAACCCCAUCUCUACUAAAAAUACAAAAAUUAUCCAGACAUGGUGGCACAUGCCUCUACUCCCAGCUACUUGGGAGGCUGAGGCAGGAGAAUCGCUUGAACCUAGGAGGCAGGGGUUGCAGUGAGCCGAGAUUGAGCCACUGCACUCUAGCCUGGGCGACAGAGUGAGACUUUGUCUAAAAAACAUAAAUAAAAUAAAAUGAAAUGAAAACAUUUGCUACUUGAAAUCCUUCAGAUUCCCCAUCGCCUACCUACAGGCAAAACUCUCAAGUUCUUUUGUAUGAUUUAACCACUAUCUACCUGUCCAACUGAAAUCUACCCUUCAGUAAUAUUAUACUUGCACCUCCCUUCAUAAGCUAUGCUACAAGUUUGGUUAUGCAGUUGCCCACCUUUUAAGGUUCAAGCCUUGUCUUCUCCAAAGAGCCACCUCUGACUGCCUCACAGUAAGCUUAGGGCCCGCAACUUACCUGUAACUUUUGUUGCACUUAUGGCCUUUUACAACUAUCAAUUUAUGUAUGUGUCUGUUCUCACUGGUUUAUAAGCUCCCUGAGGACAGAGCCUUGCUUGAGUCAUCUGUCAGCAGCCCAAUAUGGGACAAAAAGUGCAUGCAUUGUAAUUACUGAACAGAACUGAUAGAGGCUCAGCAAUUUGCGCUCCAUAGGUCUAAGUUUGAACUUUUCUAGAAAAGGAUUUGCAGGACGAUCUGACGAAUCUUGGGCUUCCAAAUUAGUUCCAACAGUUCUAGUAUUUUUUUUUUUUUUUGACAGAAGCAAAUAAGUAAGUUUUACUUUGUGAUUAAAACAAAAGUGAAAUGCAUUUAGUCCCAGGAAAUGUCAAUCCUUUCUGCAUCUUACUUUUUUUUGCUGUGACCUCGAGAUUCUCUUGUUCUCUUCAGUUGUAUUGGUCCAUGAUCACUCAUAGCUUUCAUACACAUAUAUACAUCUGAAACUCAGAAAAUUCAUUAGGUAGGAACUCUUUGGAUGCAUCUCCUUUUUUAACCUCAUUGGGAUGAUUUUUCGUUGCACCAUCAUUUUAUAGAGCUUCCUAGCACUGCUGAGCAUGCAGAAUUUUUGCAAAUGCAAUCCAGAGAAACAGACUUGCUAUAUACUAGCUAUUUGAACUUGUCUGAGCUUAUGUGGCAUGGUCUAAAGAAUACUGAAAUAUUUCUGGCAUACCUCUUAAUUGCAGUCACUUUCUCCAGGUUGCUUUAUGGAUUAAAUGAGAUAACCUACUAAAGGACUCCAGUAAAAAGCUAAAAAGGUAGCUAGCUUUUGAGGUGUUGUGGCAGACUGGCAUCUAGUGGCCAGCGAUAAAGGUGCAGACUAGUGUCCACACCUAAGUGGGGACAGUGCAGGCUGUAAUGUCCAUACCUAGUGGGGACAUCAAUGGGGUAUUUGUCAGAGAAGCUCCAUGGCAUAGUUUGGACAUUGUUUCUGGCUGUGCAGGUUCAAACCCAGAGUCUGGCUCUCCCAAAGAUUAUCUGAGUUAUUCUAUUAUUUUACAAAGUUUGAAAUAGCCAUUAGAUACCCUUACAAACUUAUCAUUUUUGUGAUUGAUUUUAAGUCUACUGAAAAUGUCAAAAGAAAUCCAAAACUGAUUGCUAGUAACUAGGCCAGGUGUGGUGGCUCACACCUGUAAUCCCAGCACUUUGGGGCCGGGGCAGGCAGAUUGCUUGAGCUCAGGAGUUCGAGACCAGCCUGGGCAACAUGGCAAAACUCCAUAUUUACAAAAAAUACAAAAAAUUAGCCGGACAUGAUGGUGUGUGCCUGUUGUCCCCGCUACUAGAAGGCUCAGAAAGAAGGAUCACUUGAGCCUGGGAGGCGGAGGUUGCAGUGAGCCAAGACUGUGCCACUGCACUCCAACCUGGGCAACAGAGACCCCAGCUCAAAAAAAUAAAAUUAGUGUUAACUUGUACUGUUUAGCCACAUUCAUUAAGUUUUUAAUUUUAACUCUACUAUCGCACAACCAGGAAUGUACAAGAGAUCUGGAGCCUGAUUUGCAUGGCAGGAAGGAGACCACGUAUUUUUGUUUGGGAUGGGUUUUAGCCACUAUCAGAGACAUAGUUUGUUUCUUAGGGGUUCGGUCCCAGUAGUAUGAUACUUAGUUCAUUUAGGAACUUCCUUUUUUAACGGCUAAGAAAACAUUUUAGCUACUAAAUGAUAUGCAAAGAUAACUUUCCAAAUUUAAGCUGUACUCAAAAAUCCACAGAAUCUGCAAAACUCUCAAGUUUCUAUAUUUAAAUAGAAAUGUGUGUUGAUAUACAUACUUUAAUCAGUCAUUUCUUGCUUUCAAUAUAUUUUAUUCUGACGAAGUUACAAAAGUAGAUACAAAAUACUUUUUUUAGAAGUACAGUUAACUGACUUAGAAAAAUAGAUAAAGCCCCUAAGGAUUUUAAAACACAACAUAAAUUUUUAUGUAAAGAACAUUUAAAAAUAUUUUAGAUGGUAACCAAAACUAACUUACACAAACUAUUUUUGAUGUAGAAUAGAAUGCUGUUCUAUAAUAAGAAGUCUGUAGCACACUGGUAAUCCAUUUGGAUCUACAGAAUACUUGUUUGGAACAGAAUCUGAUAAUGAGAGAAAACUCAAAUGAAUGUCAGUGCAGUUGCUUCAAAAAAAUUACUGCUACCACAUGUACUAUCAUCCCCCAAGGCCUUUUACAGUCUGAAAUAUCAAAAUUGAAAGCAAAAAUAGGAUGACCAAAGGACUACUAUUUUACCUCUUUUCAGAACUCUACAAUAGUAGAAACUAAAUUCCCUUAUGGAUCUCAGGGGGAAAUAAUGUGCCUGUUGAAGGGGCUCAGUGUUUGGUGUCCAGGCUGGCAUUUUUCAGGUGAGGGUUUCAUACUGACAGGAGGCAGGCUCCUAAAACAAGGCGGUAGCACCAGCACCAUGACUAGGGCUGCUUUAAAACAAAUUUCUAGGACUUACGCUCUUUGGGCCUGAUUUGUUAAUGCUUAUGAGGUAAUGAUAUUAUGUUUGAGAAGCUCUACUUCUAGUAUACCUCAAUGCUCAGAGAGAAAGCCAACAAUACAAUCAGGAAACCACAAUAUUGACAAAACUUAGUACUACCACCAAGAUUGUUCCUCUUGCCUUGGCACUACUAAAAAACUUUACCUUUGUUACUAAAGUCAUGGUGAAUACAGAUUUUGCAUUUCUCAUGUAAGCAGCUAUAUAAGCUAGGGUUCUACAAGCCUUAGAUGAAAGGAAAAACUUUGCUGGAAGCCCUGUAAAAAUCACUUUAUUCACAAUCUGAAGAAUGAAAGACAAAUUUGGCUGUCAAUACAAAAACUGUAGUACAAGGAAGUUCAACUGUUUAAAAAUCUGCACAUCACUGUACAAGUGUUUUUUGAAGGCCUGAAAAUUAAAGCACCAUAGGAUUAACUGCAUAAUUUAGCAAGCACUCUCUACCCCAUGACUGUAAUCAUGUAUGAAGAGCAGAGAUCAGACACUGAGAGGAGAUGGCUUCUGAUUAGCAAGGGGGAAGGGAGUGAGUGUUAUGGAACAGGCAAACCUUGGGCAUGGGGAGAUAAAAGUGAGAAGAGUCAAAAAGAUUGAUUUCUAUAGGCCGGGCACGGUGGCUCAUGCCUGUAAUCCCAACACUUUGGGAGGCUGAGGCGGGCGGAUUGCGAGGUAAGGAGAUGGAGACCAUCCUGGCUAACACGGUGAAACCCCAUCUCUACUAAAAAUACAAAAAAUUAGCCAGGCAUGACUAAAAAUAGAAAAAAUUAGCUGGGCGUGGUGGCGGGCACCUGUAGUUCCAGCUACUCAGGAGAGGCUGGGGCAGGAGAAUGGCAUGAACCUGGGAGGCAGAGCUUGCAGUGAGCCGAGAUCCCACCACUGUACUCCAGCCUGGGUGACAGAGUGAGACUCUGUCUCAAAAAAAAAAAAAAAAAAGAUUGAUUUCGUCAAACUGUUAUCAAAGGUUGGCCCUCUAGCCAACUCAGGAAGGCGCCAUCCUCUUCCCAUUAUCUCCCCUUCCUCCAAUUCUCCUCCUCCCCUUGGCUCCCUAGCCUUGGAGGUAAACACUAAUAUUUCAGUGCACUGUUGGUUAAGCCAGAUUGGCUUGGGAACCUGGUAAUGUUUUUAUUUUUAUUUUAAAAAAGGACAGUCUUGAGUCUCAAAAUACCAACACAUCUCUGAUUUAUGUCCCAUUUAUAAGCUGCCUUUACUACUGUCCUGACAUGUGAUCGUCUUUCAUUUGCUUUGGAGCUUAGUGGUGAAGAGAGGGAACAUUUCCAUAACUGAAAAUAAAUGGAGAAAAGUGGUAACUCUUUUGUUUGAGAAUAUUUGAAAUACUAGAAAUAAUGAGGAAAGUACAAGCCUAGCUGAGAAACUAGUUUCAUCACUUGUGGACUUAAAAAAGUAAAGCUAACAGGGUUUAAAGUUGAGAGGCAGUUCACAUCCUAAGUGAUACCUAGAAACCUGCUUUCUUGUUCGCAAAUGAUCAACAUGAACAUACAGAAUGGCUGACAUUUGGACCUUUGGAUAAGCUUAAAACAUGGAUUGUGGAAUGUCUAAUAGAGGGCUUUUCUCUCUUUUUUUUAAUAAUGACUGUCCCACACUUUAAUUCCUCAAUGAUAUGUGGAUGCUAACUAAAUCAGAUGAAAUGUUUUCUUUAAAAUUCUGUAUAUAUUUAAGAAUUUCUAGGAAAUGAUUAUUUAAAAUGGAGUUUCUAAGUAAUUAUUUUCUUUAUAGUUUAGUGGAGUAAGAAAAAUAAAUCU
rnacentral:lncRNA from 1 species